rnacentral:sRNA from 1 species
AUCAUUCAAAGAUAAAUACAUCAAAAGGCAGUAACUGAGGACUAACUUGAAAAGUUUGAAAGGUGAAAAAAUAGUUCUCUACAUAUUUUCUGUUUUCAGGAGAUGAGUAUGAUGUAUGUGCCAUUUGUUUGGAUGAGUAUGAAGAUGGAGACAAACUCAGAAUCCUUCCCUGUUCCCAUGCUUAUCACUGCAAGUGUGUAGACCCUUGGCUAACUAAAACCAAAAAAACCUGUCCAGUGUGCAAGCAAAAAGUUGUUCCUUCUCAAGGCGAUUCAGACUCUGACACAGACAGUAGUCAAGAAGAAAAUGAAGUGACAGAACAUACCCCUUUACUGAGACCUUUAGCUUCUGUCAGUGCCCAGUCAUUUGGGGCUUUAUCGGAAUCCCGCUCACAUCAGAACAUGACAGAAUCUUCAGACUAUGAGGAAGACGACAAUGAAGAUACUGACAGUAGUGAUGCAGAAAAUGAAAUUAAUGAACAUGAUGUCGUGGUCCAGUUGCAGCCUAAUGGUGAACGGGAUUACAACAUAGCAAAUACUGUUUGACUUUCAGAAGAUGAUUGGUUUAUUUCCCUUUAAAAUGUUUAGGUAUAUACUGUAAUUUGAUUUUUUGCUCCCUUCAAAGAUUUCUGUAGAAAUAACUUAUUUUUUAGUAUUCUACAGUUUAAUCAAAUUACUGAAACAGGACUUUUGAUCUGGUAUUUAUCUGCAAGAAUAUACUUCAUUCACUAAUAAUAGACUGGUGCUGUAACUCAAGCAUCAAUUCAGCUCUUCUUUUGGAAUGAAAGUAUAGCCAAAACAUAAAAAAAAAAAAAAA